rnacentral:pre_miRNA from 1 species
GGGCUUGGUAGGAUUAGGCGCACUGGCAUAACUCUGACCAUAGUUUAUGGUCAGAGUUUUGCCAGUUCCGCCCAUUCCUAUUGUGCCU